rnacentral:rRNA from 1 species
UAGGGAAUCUUCCACAAUGGGCGAAAGCCUGAUGGAGCAACGCCGCGUGUGUGAUGAAGGGUUUCGGCUCGUAAAACACUGUUGUAAGAGAAGAAUGACAUUGAGAGUAACUGUUCAAUGUGUGACGGUAUCUUACCAGAAAGGAACGGCUAAAUACGUGCCAGCAGC